UGGGCAACCUGCCCCAGACACAGGGAUAACCCCGGGAAACCGGGGCUAAUACCGGAUACUCCGGUCGAACCGCAUGGCUCGAUCGGGAAAGCUCCGACGGUCUGGGAUGGGCCCGCGGCCUAUCAGCUUGUUGGUGGGGUAACGGCCUACCAAGGCGACGACGGGUAGCCGGCCUGAGAGGGUGACCGGCCACACCGGGACUGAGACACGGACCAGACUCCUACGGGAG
rnacentral:rRNA from 1 species